AGAGUUUGAUUAUGGCUCAGGACGAACGCUGGCGGCGUGCUUAACACAUGCAAGUUGAACGGUAUGACAUGGAAGCUUGCUGAAGUGUCAUAUAGUAGCGGACGGGUGAGUAAUGCAUGAGAAGCUGCCAUUGGGAGGGGGACAACAGUUGGAAACGGCUGCUAAUACCCCGUAUGCCGGAAGGUGAAAGGGAGCGAUCCGCCCGAUGAGGUGCUCAUGUCCUAUCAGCUGGUUGGUGGGGUAACGGCCUACCAAGGCGACGACGGGUAGCCGGCCUGAGAGGGUGAACGGCCACACUGGAACUGAGAUACGGUCCAGACUCCUACGGGAGGCAGCAGUGGGGAAUAUUUGGGCAAUGGGGGCAACCCUGACCCAGCGACGCCGCGUGGGGGAAGACGGCCUUCGGGUUGUAAACCUCUUUUGUACGGGAAGAAGGAAGUGACGGUACUGUACGAAUAAGUCCCGGCUAACUACGUGCCAGCAGCCGC
rnacentral:rRNA from 1 species